ACAGAACAACAUAAUGGAUCGUGCGCAAGUCGUGCGUUUUUUGGAGCGCCAGUCACGUACGAGUCGUUCAAGGAAUCGAAGGAAUGUACUACGGGCGCUCGUAGGACUCCGCAGCAUGUCCGCAGCUGAUGGCUGACGCCCGUGGCUACCGACACGAGACCGGCUACCGACUGCGUGACAGUAUGAAAGGUCGAUCUUGGCCCACGACUGUAAAUGGAAAACCAAAAGUGGCGGUGGCGGUGUUCUCUGUCAGAGAAACAGCAAAAGUACUAUCGCACAACGA
rnacentral:lncRNA from 1 species